UACGGAGGGUGCAAACGUUGCUCGGAAUCAUUGGGCGUAAAGCGCACGUAGGCGGCUCGUUAAGUCGGAUGUGAAAGCCCCGGGCUCAACUCGGGAAGUGCAUUCGAAACUGGCGAGCUUGAAUAUGGAAGAGGGUCGCGGAAUUCCCGGUGUAGAGGUGAAAUUCGUAGAUAUCGGGAGGAACACCAGUGGCGAAGGCGGCGACCUGGGCCAAUAUUGACGCUGAGGUGCGAAAGCGUGGGGAGCAAACAGGG
rnacentral:rRNA from 1 species